AGAGUUUGAUCCUGGCUCAGAACGAACGCUAGCGGCGUGCUUAACACAUGCAAGUCGAACGCGAAAGGGACUUCGGUCCUGAGUAAAGUGGCGCACGGGUGAGUAACGCGUAGAUAACCUGUCUUUGUGUCUGGAAUAAUACACCGAAAGGGGUACUAAUACCGGAUAUCCUUGCCUUUCAUAAGUUUUGCAAGAAAAGGUGGCCUCUGACAUAAGCUACUGCACAUAGAGGGGUCUGCGUACCAUUAGCUUGUAGGUGGGGUAAUGGCCUACCUAGGCGACGAUGGUUAGCGGGUCUGAGAGGAUGAUCCGCCACACUGGCACUGGAACACGGGCCAGACUCCUACGGGAGGCAGCAGUGAGGAAUAUUGCGCAAUGGGGGCAACCCUGACGCAGCGACGCCGCGUGAGUGAGGAAGGCCUUCGGGUCGUAAAGCUCUGUCAAAGGGAAAGAGAUGCAUAAUGGUUAAUACCUGUUAUGUUUGACGGUACCCUUAAAGGAAGCACCGGCUAACUCCGUGCCAGCAGCCGCGGUAAUACGGAGGGUGCAAGCGUUGUUCGGAAUUACUGGGCGUAAAGGGCGCGUAGGCGGUUUGAUAAGUCAGAUGUGAAAGCCCACGGCUUAACUGUGGAAGUGCAUUUGAUACUGUCAGACUUGAGUACCAGAGGGGAAAGUGGAAUUCCCGGUGUAGAGGUGAAAUUCGUAGAUAUCGGGAGGAAUACCGGUGGCGAAGGCGACUUUCUGGCUGGAUACUGACGCUGAGGCGCGAAAGCGUGGGGAGCAAACAGGAUUAGAUACCCUGGUAGUCCACGCUGUAAACGAUGUCAACUAGAUGUAGGGGGUGUUAUCCCUUCUGUGUCGCAGCUAACGCAUUAAGUUGACCGCCUGGGGAGUACGGUCGCAAGAUUAAAACUCAAAGGAAUUGACGGGGGCCCGCACAAGCGGUGGAGUAUGUGGUUUAAUUCGAUGCAACGCGAAGAACCUUACCUGGUCUUGACAUCCCAGAAAUCCCUUGGAAACUUGGGAGUGCUUCCAUUAUAAGGGGUGGAUGCAUGAUCGCUCCGGCGCAAGCCGGGGAGGAAAGUCCGAACACCAUAGGGCGCGGUGGUUCGUAACGCGAACCUCGGGCAACCGGGGGAAAGUGCCACAGAAAACACACCGCCGAUGGGGCGCGCAAGUGUUCACAGGUAAGGUUGAAAUGGCGAGGUAAGAGCUCACCGCCCCCAU
rnacentral:rRNA from 1 species